UACGUAGGGACCAAGCGUUGUUCGGAUUUACUGGGCGUAAAGGGCGCGUAGGCGGCGUGGUAAGUCACUUGUGAAAUCUCUGAGCUUAACUCAGAACGGUCAAGUGAUACUGCUGUGCUAGAGUGCGGUAGGGGCAAUCGGAAUUCUCGGUGUAGCGGUGAAAUGCGUAGAUAUCGAGAGGAACACCUGAGGUGAAGACGGGUUGCUGGGCCGACACUGACGCUGACAGCGCGAAAGCCAGGGGAGCAAACGGGG
rnacentral:rRNA from 1 species